rnacentral:rRNA from 1 species
AUGGCCGAAUGCUUCAAUAGGGUGCUCAAAGGUGCACAUGGAUUACCCGUGACGGCAAUAGUUCAAUACACAUUUGACAAGAUGAAUGCGUACUUUGUAAAGUACUCGAUGGAAACCGAUGCACAAAUAGCGGGUGAGAACCCACGGAAGUACAAGUACAAGUUCCCACCCAAAGUUGAUGAAUGGUUGGUAUUUCAAUCACGGAAGGCGGACUCAGAAGAAGCUAUAUUAUAUGACAACGAAGAGUGGAAGUACGAAGUGAAAGAGCCAGGAGGAACCACAAACGAUGGCCGGCAACAUGGAGGUCGGGCUUUCAAGGUGUCGUUAACACAAUGUGAUUGCACUUGCGGGAGGCCAUUGUUGCUUCAUCUCCCAUGCUCACAUUUGUAUGCCGCCGGUCGCGUUAGGAAUGUGGACAUCAAUCACCCACGCACCAUGAGGGAGUCGAAGUUCUCAAUCAUGACAGUCAAGAAAACAUGGGCUCCCCGCUUUCACCCAUACUUUGACCAAUCACAAUGGCCGGAGUAUCAUGGAGUUCAACUAUGGCCGUUUCCG